rnacentral:rRNA from 1 species
UACGUAGGGUCCGAGCGUUGUCCGGAAUUAUUGGGCGUAAAGAGCUCGUAGGCGGUUUGUCGCGUCUGCUGUGAAAUCCCGAGGCUCAACCUCGGGCCUGCAGUGGGUACGGGCAGACUGGAGUGCGGUAGGGGAGAAUGGAAUUCCUGGUGUAGCGGUGGAAUGCGCAGAUAUCAGGAGGAACACCAAUGGCGAAGGCAGCUCUCUGGUACGUGACUGACGCUGAGACGCGAAAGCGUGGGGAGCAAACAGG